rnacentral:rRNA from 1 species
UGGGGAAUUUUGGACAAUGGGCGCAAGCCUGAUCCAGCCAUGCCGCGCGCAGGAUGAAGGCCUUCGGGUUGUAAACUGCUUUUGUACGGAACGAAAAGGUGCCUUCUAAUAAAGGGCGCUCAUGACGGUACCGUAAGAAUAAGCACCGGCUAACUACGUGCCAGCAGCCGCGGUAAUACGUAGGGUGCGAGCGUUAAUCGGAAUUACUGGGCGUAAAGCGUGCGCAGGCGGUUUUGUAAGACAGAGGUGAAAUCCCCGGGCUCAACCUGGGAACUGCCUUUGUGACUGAAAGGCUGGAGUGCGGCAGAGGGGGAUGGAAUUCCGCGUGUAGCAGUGAAAUGCGUAGAUAUGCGGAGGAACACCGAUGGCGAAGGCAAUCCCCUGGGCCUGCACUGACGCUCAUGCACGAAAGCGUGGGGAGCAAACA